GAUGAACGCUGGCGGCGUGCCUAAUACAUGCAAGUCGAGCGAACAGACGAGGAGCUUGCUCCUCUGACGUUAGCGGCGGACGGGUGAGUAACACGUGGAUAACCUACCUAUAAGACUGGGAUAACUUCGGGAAACCGGAGCUAUACCGGAUAAUAUAUUUAACCGCAUGGUUCAAUAGUGAAAGACGGUUUUGCUGUCACUUUUAGAUGGAUCCGCGCCGCAUUAGCUAGUUGGUAAGGUAACGGCUUACCAAGGCAACGAUGCGUAGCCGAACUGAGAGGGUGAUCGGCCACACUGGAACUGAGACACGGUCCAGACUCCUACGGGAGGCAGCAGUAGGGAAUCUUCCGCAAUGGGCGAAAGCUUGACGGAGCAACGCCGCGUGAGUGAUGAAGGUCUUCGGAUCGUAAAACUCUGUUAUUAGGGAAGAACAAAUGUGUAAGUAACUAUGCACGUCUUGACGGUACCUAAUCAGAAAGCCACGGCUAACUACGUG
rnacentral:rRNA from 1 species